rnacentral:rRNA from 1 species
GACAGAGGAGCCAAGCGUUGUCCGGAUUGACUGGGCGUAAAGGGCACGCAGGUGGUCGCGCAAGUGUGAUGUGAAAGUCGGGGGCUCAACCCUCGAAAGCCGGUGGAUACUGUCGGGCUAGAGUACGGAAGAGGCGAGUGGAAUUCCUGGUGUAGCGGUGAAAUGCGCAGAUAUCAGGAGGAACACCAAUUGCGAAGGCAGCUCGCUGGGACGUUACUGACGCUGAGACGCGAAAGCGUGGGGAGCAAACAGG